AACUCGGCAAAUUGCCCCCGUAACUUCGGGAGAAGGGGGGCCUCCGCUGGUGAUCAGACUUGCUUUGUGAGCUGGUGGGGGUCGCAGAGGCCAGGGGGAAGCGACUGUUUACUAAAAACACAGGUCCGUGCGAAGUCGUAAGACGAUGUAUACGGACUGACGCCUGCCCGGUGCUGGAACGUUAAGGGGACCGGUUAGCGGGACGUAAGUCCUGCGAGGCUGAGAACUUAAGCGCCAGUAAACGGCGGUGGUAACUAUAACCAUCCUAAGGUAGCGAAAUUCCUUGUCGGGUAAGUUCCGACCUGCACGAAUGGCGUAACGACUUCCCCGCUGUCUCAACCGCAGACCCGGCGAAAUUGCACUACGAGUAAAGAUGCUCGUUACGCGCAGCAGGACGGAAAGACCCCGGGACCUUCACUACAGCUUGACAUUGGCGUUUGGAACGUCUUGUGUAGGAUAGGUGGGAGACUGUGAAGCCGUCACGCUAGUGGUGGUGGAGUCAUUGGUGAAAUACCACUCUGGUCGUUUUGAACGUCUAACUUCGGUCCGUGAUCCGGAUCAGGGACAGUGUCUGGUGGGUAGUUUAACUGGGGCGGUUGCCUCCUAAAGAGUAACGGAGGCGCCCAAAGGUUCCCUCAGCCUGGUUGGUAAUCAGGUGUCGAGUGUAAGUGCACAAGGGAGCUUGACUGUGAGACCGACGGGUCGAGCAGGAGCGAAAGCUGGGACUAGUGAUCCGGCGGUGGCAUGUGGAAGCGCCGUCGCUCAACGGCUAAAAGGUACCCCGGGGAUAACAGGCUGAUCUUCCCCAAGAGUCCAUAUCGACGGGAUGGUUUGGCACCUCGAUGUCGGCUCGUCGCAUCCUGGGGCUGGAGUAGGUCCCAAGGGUUGGGCUGUUCGCCCAUUAAAGCGGUACGCGAGCUGGGUUUAGAACGUCGCGAGACAGUUCGGUCCCUAUCCGCUGCGCGCGCAGGAGACUUGAAAGGAGCUGUCCCUAGUACGAGAGGACCGGGACGGACGAACCUCUGGUGUGCCAGUUGUUCCGCCAGGAGCAUGGCUGGUUGGCUACGUUCGGAAGGGAUAACCGCUGAAAGCAUCUAAGCGGGAAGCUCGCCUUGAGAUGAGGUCUCCCACCACGUGAGUGGGUAAGGCCCCCGGGAGACGACCGGGUUGAUAGGCCGGAGGUGGAAGCACGGUAACGUGUGGAGCUGACCGGUACUAAUAGGCCGAGGACUUGACCAC
rnacentral:rRNA from 1 species